rnacentral:rRNA from 1 species
UACGGAGGGGGCGAGCGUUAUUCGGAAUUAUUGGGCGUAAAGGGCGCGUAGGCGGCCGGAUAAGUCAAAGGUGAAAUCCCUCGGCUCAACUGAGGAACUGCCUUUGAAACUGUUUGGCUCGAGUCCGGGAGGGGGUAGCGGAAUUCCAGGUGUAGCGGUGAAAUGCGUAGAUAUCUGGAGGAACACCGGUGGCGAAGGCGGCAUCCUGGACCAACACUGACACUGAUGAGCGAAAGCCAGGGGAGCAAACGGG